rnacentral:rRNA from 1 species
UACGUAGGGUGCAAGCGUUGUCCGGAAUUUAUUGGGCGUAAAGAGCUCGUAGGCGGUCUGUCACGUCGGCUGUGAAAUCCCGAGGCUCAACCUCGGGUCUGCAGUCGAUACGGGCAAACUAGAGUAUUGCAGGGGAGACUGGAAUUCCUGGUGUAGCGGUGAAAUGCGCAGAUAUCAGGAGGAACACCGGUGGCGAAGGCGGGUCUCUGGGCAAUAACUGACGCUGAGGAGCGAAAGCGUGGGGGAGCGAACAGG